rnacentral:piRNA from 1 species
GAGUACCCGACCUUGAUAGC